UACGAGAGGCCCAAACGUUAUUCGGAUUCACUGGGCGUAAAGGGUGCGCAGGCGGCCGUGUGUGUGAGGCGUGAAAGCCCGACGCUUAACGUCGGAAUUGCACCUCAAACUACAUGGCUAGAGCAUUGGAGAGGGUAGCGGAAUUCACGGUGUAGCAGUGAAAUGCGUAGAUAUCGUGAGGAACACCAGAGGCGAAGGCGGCUACCUGGACAAUUGCUGACGCUCAGGCACGAAAGCGUGGGGAGCAAAAGGG
rnacentral:rRNA from 1 species